CUAGACAAUGCUAGGAUGUGAUGGGGAAGCCCUUCGGGGCGAAGUAGCUGAUUUCACACUGUCAAGAAAAGCUUCUAUCGAGUCUAAAGGCGCCCGUACCGUAAACCGACACAGGUGGGUGAGGAGAGUAUCCUAAGGCCAGCGAGAGAACUAUUGUUAAGGAACUCGGCAAAAUGACCCCGUAACUUAGGGAGAAGGGGUGCCUGUCUAUGACAGGCCGCAGAGAAUAGGCCCAAGCGACUGUUUACCAAAAACACAGGUUUCUGCUAAGUCGCAAGACGAUGUAUAGGAGCUGACGCCUGCCCGGUGCUGGAAGGUUAAGGGGAUCUGUUAGAGCAAUCGAAGCAGUGAACUUAAGCCCCAGUAAACGGCGGCCGUAACGAUAACGGUCCUAAGGUAGCGAAAUUCCUUGUCGGGUAAGUUCCGACCCGCACGAAAGGCGUAACGAUUUGGGCACUGUCUCAACAAUAGACUCGGUGAAAUUGUAAUCCCGGUGAAGAUGCCGGGUACCUGCGACAGGACGGAAAGACCCCAUGGAGCUUUACUGUAGCUUGACGUUGGGUCUUGGUACUACAUGUACAGGAUAGGUGGGAGACUAUGAAGCAUGGACGCCAGUCUGUGUGGAGUCAUCCUUGGGAUACCACCCUUGUAGUUCUGGGAUCCUAACCAUAGGCCUUGAAUCAGGUCUUGGAACACCGUCAGGUGGGCAGUUUGACUGGGGCGGUCGCCUCCUAAAAAGUAACGGAGGCGCUCAAAGGUUUCCUCAGCACGGUCGGAAAUCGUGCGAAGAGUGUAAAGGCAAAAGGAAGCUUGAUUGCAAGACAUACAGGUCGAGCAAGGACGAAAGUCGGACUUAGUGAUCCGGUGGUACCGCAUGGAAGGGCCAUCGCUCAACGGAUAAAAGCUACCCUGGGGAUAACAGGCUUAUCUCCCCCAAGAGUCCACAUCGACGGGGAGGUUUGGCACCUCGAUGUCGGCUCAUCACAUCCUGGGGCUGUAGUAGGUCACAAGGGUUGGGCUGUUCGCCCAUUAAAGUGGUACGCGAGCUGGGUUCAGAACGUCGUGAGACAGUUCGGUCCCUAUCCGUCGCAGGCGUAGGAAAUUUGAGAAGACCUGUCCUUAGUACGAGAGGACCGGGAUGGACGUACCUCUGGUGUACCAGUUGUUCUGCCAAGGGCAUGGCUGGGUAGCUAUGUACGGAAUGGAUAAGCGCUGAAAGCAUCUAAGCGCGAAGCCAACUUCAAGAUAAGAUUUCCCACCGUAAGGGUAAGACCCCAGGAAGACUACCUGGUUGAUAGGUCGAAGGUGUAAGUGCAGUAAUGUAUUUAGCUUAUCGAUACUAAUAGGUCGAGGACUUGAUC
rnacentral:rRNA from 1 species